AGUGAACGCUGGCGGCGUGCCUAACACAUGCAAGUCGAACGGACGAAGAGAGCUUGCUCUCCUAGUUAGUGGCGCACGGGUGAGUAACACGUAGCUAACCUGCCCCAUAGUAAGGGACAACAGUUGGAAACGACUGCUAAUACCUUAUACUCCUUCUCUACCUAAGUAGAGUCGGGAAAGUUAUUUCGCUAUGGGAUGGGGCUGCGGCCUAUCAGCUUGUUGGGGAGGUAAUGGCUCAACAAGGCUAUGACGGGUAGCUAGUCUGAGAGGAUGAUCAGCCACAUUGGAACUGAGACACGGUCCAAACUCCUACGGGAGGCAGCAGUGGGGAAUUUUACACAAUGGGCGAAAGCCUGAUGUAGCAACGCCGCGUGGAGGAUGAAGGAUUUAGGUUCGUAAACUCCUUUUAUAAGGGAAGAAAUUUGACGGUACCUUAUGAAUAAGCACCGGCUAACUCCGUGCCAGCAGCCGCAGUAA
rnacentral:rRNA from 1 species